AAAGGCCUACCAAGGCGACGAUGCGUAGCCGACCUGAGAGGGUGAUCGGCCACACUGGGACUGAGACACGGCCCAGACUCCUACGGGAGGCAGCAGUAGGGAAUCUUCCGCAAUGGGCGAAAGCCUGACGGAGCAACGCCGCGUGAGUGAUGAAGGUUUUCGGAUCGUAAAGCUCUGUUGCCAGGGAAGAACGUCUUGUAGAGUAACUGCUACAAGAGUGACGGUACCUGAGAAGAAAGCCCCGGCUAACUACGUGCCAGCAGCCGCGGUAAUACGUAGGGGGCAAGCGUUGUCCGGAAUUAUUGGGCGUAAAGCGCGCGCAGGCGGCUCUUUAAGUCUGGUGUUUAAUCCCGAGGCUCAACUUCGGGUCGCACUGGAAACUGGGGAGCUUGAGUGCAGAAGAGGAGAGUGGAAUUCCACGUGUAGCGGUGAAAUGCGUAGAGAUGUGGAGGAACACCAGUGGCGAAGGCGACUCUCUGGGCUGUAACUGACGCUGAGGCGCGAAAGCGUGGGGAGCAAACAGGAUUAGAU
rnacentral:rRNA from 1 species